GCCUUGCUGGCUUAGCCAGAAGAGCAUGUGACUCUUGAUCUCAGGGUCGUGGGGUCAAGCCUCACGUUGGGUG
rnacentral:tRNA from 1 species